UGACGAAGCUAAAUCAGCAUUAACCUUUUAAGUUAAAGACUGGGACCCGCUACUCCCCUCAAUG
rnacentral:tRNA from 1 species